rnacentral:lncRNA from 1 species
GCACACUCAUAACGGAUUAGUUUCCUUUUUUUAUUAAGAUAUAGUUUCAAUUUCACUACACUUGAUCAUUGUUGCAAAAGCACUCAUAAAAGAUAAAAGAAAUAAUUGAUUAUCAAAAUCAUUUGCAUCCCCCCGGGGGACAAUGAUAGAUAUAGUCUUCGAGAGCUUUCUUUCGCUUCGCAAUCAAACACUCUUCCCUUGUAAUCCCUGAGCAAUCAACAAUGUCUGGUGAUGCUAUAGGAUUAUUGGAAAAUGACGCAUCUGCGGUAGAUCCUUGGCCAAUAUGAUUGGCUAAAAUAAGUCUACUUUCAGUGUUUGCCACUACGAGCAAAGCCAAGAUGAUGAAACUAAGGCUCUUCGACAUAUUUCUAUUUCUUAGGUGAAUUAUCAAUAACUUAAUUAAAAGUAUAAGAGAUCUACAUCAAUCAGGGCAGCAUGAGUCUCUAUUUAUAUGAAUGAAUAUUGAGAAACGAGUUGCAGUGACUUUAAUGGAAUUGAAAGAUUCCAUAAAUGAGGAUUAAAUAAAUUAUGUUGUCUUUGUUUAAAUUAACUAUUGACUUUAAUAUCAUGUUGCAUUACAGCGACAAUUUAACAUACAUUAAAUUAAUUUGAUCGUUUUUAGUGUUAUUAUUAUGUUUAGUUUAUUGUUAGAUUCUUUCUCAUUAUAUCAAUCGUCAAACUAUUGUUUUAAUAUGUAAAGACGUUUCUAGAAGCCACGCGCUCCAACAAAAUUAACCACAUCCUAUUUUAAGCAAGCCAGCGACACAAUCAAUCCUAUAUAUUUGCAAGGAUAUACAGUAAUACUUCUAUAAAUUGAUAAUAAAUAAAUCAUGCAACAUCUAUUAAUUUAAAGAGAUAUUGAUAUUAAUCAAUCAAUAAGUUGUAUAAGAGAUUAUGUUUUAUAAUUGUAUGGUCACAUUCUUACUAUAAAAUAAUAAUUUGUUGGGUUUACAAACAUAAUUGUUAUAAUAUGUUAUUAAAUAAAACAUAACUCGAUUAUUAUUUGUUUUUCUUCAAAUCUAAACAUAGUGGGAUCUCAUCUCUGAUAUUACUUAUUCCUGCGGAAUUCAAAACAACAGGAAUUCUCUUUUUUUUGGUUAAUUGUAAUCUAUAUUUAGGGGAUUAAUUAAUUUUGAAUUGGCUAUGUUGGUAAAAUACUACAAAUUAUCUAGUUGAUUAAAUAUAUGUUCACUUAAUUGUAUAUACACUCUAUAAAUUAAAUGAUUAUUAACUUAUAGAUUAAUUAAUAUCAGUAUCUCUUUAUAUUAAUAGAAUUGUAUGAUUCUGAUAUUAAUUUAGAGAGGUUGUAUUGUAUAUCCAUGAGAUUCUACAUUAGCGGCAGACCAUUUGAAAAAAAAAAGUACCGGAUAAUUUUACAUUAAUUUUCCUCCAAGUAUAUGCAUUUUAACUUCUCACUAACAGCAAAUCAAUAAUGUUGAGACCAAAUCAAUCUCCAAGAUCAACUUGGAACCUCGAAGACCCACUCUAUGAAACUUGACCUUGAUAUGGAAUUAACACUAAACUAAGCUUUGACAAGAAUUACGUAUAAAUACUUCAAACCAGCCACACAAUCAAAGAAAAUCAUAUCACACACUUGCACCAAGGAUUAUAGUGGUUCAGCCAAUUUCUUGCCUACAUCCACUGUGAAAAGAGAAACAAGCUUUUACUGAUUUCCAGAGAAUAAGUUACAUGUAUGAAGAGUGAAUACAACUUAAUAGAAUGCCUUUAGUAACAGAGCCUAGGACCUUUUUUACUCCUAUCAGAGCCUGAUGAAAGAGCCCCCAGAAGUCAGCUCACGCUCCUGGGUUUCCAGCCAAGAUGAUAAUCAGCUGCCUCCCGCGUGAUCUAACCGAAAUAACCAAUUCUUGAAUUUGCUUUGGGACACUUGUCAAAAGCUCAUGCAAUCUGUUAGCUAAAACGCAAAUGAGGUUGCCGUUUGAAUUAGUGAAUCAUGUGAUGCAUCACGUGCAUUACUAACGCAUCCAGCCGACAUAACGUUUAUUCCAUUCAGCUUCUCUGAACUCUAGUGCUUGACAAGUCGUUAUGCUUCAUUAGAAACAGAUGACAUGUCAUACAAAUCCCCAAGUUCAGAUUUGAGCUACACAAUUCCAACAAAUAAAGCACCUCAAAUGCAAUUACAUCAAUCUCUAUAACAAUGUCAAAUAUCCAAUAUCAUCAAGUUCAAAUUCUAAUAUAAGCAUUAUGUACUGAGUCCGAAUAUUAUAGAACCAACAUUUUUUUAAAAGUGAAAUUUAACAUGAUCAAAAGAAACAAACAACAUUAGUGUUAAAGAUGCUGAAUUUACAGAAACCAUUUAUUAAAAAAGAAAUUAUUGUAAUUAUCUAUAAUAGAAUUAAAGAGAGGAUGUGUUGAUAUUAUAUUGAACUUGUUUUUGUUCAGCUUUAUGGCCACCACCACUAUCAUAAGACAGGCCCAAAGCAACAAAGUAAAUGCUAGAGCGAGGAAAAGGAUACUUUUGCUAAUUAAGUAAAUUAAUUAAAAGGUGAUGGCUGAAAAGAUAUUUUGAGAAGGUUCAAUAUCACCACUCGAAAAAUGGCACAUAAUCAGUCCUACACAUUUAUUCAAUAUAAAACUACCAAGUCCAAGCCAAGCUUCAUCAGUACUCAAUCAUUUUUGUGAAUCAUCAAAUUAUCUGUUAAUAUCAUUUUACACAAAUAUUGAAAAGUUAUAGAUUAAGAUUCGUGUAAUAAUGCAAUAUGCAAACAUUGGAAAGCAUUAUCUGACAUAAAUGUGGAGGCAAAAUUGUUGUAACUCACCAAAGCAUUGAACCAAAUCUAAAUGCGUUAAUUAAACUAUAAUAAAAGCUCAAGAUAUUAUGAGCAUCGACAUUAAUUACUGGAUGGUUUGACAAUUAUGUAUGUAUGCAAAGUUUAAAUAAUUAAUUGCUCAAGUAUGGAUAAUUUAAGCAUUUAUAUUGGACGUAAUUCUUGUUGAUUUUGUUCAAUACUUUGGAUCAAUUGGUUUUCAUAGUGUUAUACACACCAAGCAUAUCGGCUACCUUGGCAAUUGCUCAAGUGGGGAAGAGGUGGAAUUCAUUAGCAAGCUAGCUACCAGUUAGCUUCCAAGUGUCCCUGUACUGCCACAAAGUUACAGGAGAAUUAGCUGCAAGCUUCAUUGGACUCAUCAUCUCCUUGCUUUUGCUUCCUUAUUCAUCCAUACAGUAGUGUUGAAUCCCAUACUUGUUCGAAGAGGUGAUUCACUAUCUCAAGUCUUUUUGGUCACCCACUUUCAGAAUUUAUUUCUUCUUUUUAUGAUGCUUCCUAUCUAAUAAGAGUGUGUGAAUUGGAGAUUGUAUUUGUUUAAUUCAUAACAUCCCAAAAACAUUGCAGAAGAGAGACAAAAUAAGAAAAGUUGAAUACUAAAUACAUUAACGAAAAUUCCUUGAACCAAUUAAUCUUACAUGUUAUUCUUCGUGCUAACCACAUAUGGGUCUUGAAUUUGUAGGAGUCAAUAGCACUAGGCGCACACACAAAAAACACAUGAUAUAAUAUUUUGUACUCAUAAUGGAUUAAUUUCUUCUUUUAUUAAAACACAGUUUUAAUUCCACUACAAUUGAUCAUUACGGCAAAAGGACUCAUAAAAGAUAAAAGAAAUAACUUAUUAUCAAGUUGAUUUGCAUCCCCUUGCGGAACAAGGGUAGAUAGAGUCUUUGAGAGCCUAUUUUAACUUUUCAAUCAAACACUCUUCCCUAGUAAGUCUUGAGCAAUCAAUAAUUUUAGGCGAUGAUGAAACUAAAAAUCUUUGACAUUUUUACAUUUCAUUAGUAGGUUGGCCACUAGUAUACCUCCAAGCACUUUAAUAUGGUUACCAAAUUAAAGCAGCAUUAGUUAUUGGCUUCACUGGACUCAUUAUCUACUUGUUGCUACUUUUCUAUUCAAUCCACACAGUAGGCUUGAAUCCCCCAGCUUGCUCAAAAAACUUAAUUUAUUGCCACAAGUUUUUUUGGCCACACAAUUUGAGAAUUUGCUUCUUCUUUUUAUGAUGCUUCCCAUCUAAUAAGAGCGUGUGAUUAAGAACUUGUAUUUGUUUAAUUCAUAACAUCUCAAGAGCAUUACAAUAGAAAGAUCGAAAAAGAAAAGCUGAAACUGACAACAUUGAUUAAAAUUCCUACUUGUUAUUCUUAGUAAUAACAACAUCUAGGUCUUAAAUUUGUAGGAGCCAACAUGAUGAAGCCUAUAUUUUGCAUCAUUAAAUGAUUAAUCUUAUUGUUAUAUCUGAUUUCACUAUUGUCUUAUCAAAAACAAUUUCUUACCAUACUAGUUGCAUAAAAAUUAACAAACUAACAUAUUAUCAUUUUAAGUCAUCAAUCAAGUAUAAAUAUUAUAUUAUUUAGUUAUAUAACAAGAAUAAAGAAAUAUCUAAAUUUCAAAGACAAAUCUUAAAUUAAAGCCAAACUAGCCAUCGCAAAUAAAUAAAAUAGUACAUAUUUGCAUUUAGAAGCAACUGCUUGAAACAAUUUUGUAAUUACUAACAAGUUUUUCUUAAAUGAAAUAAAAUAACAUAAAAUAAAAGAAAUUAAAAGCCAAUAUUUUUAUUUUCAAGUGAUGAAAUUAAAAUUCUGGUUACAAUUACAUGUGACUUCUGUUGUGCGGCUUAGCCAACAAAUUGUCCAUUUACUUGCAUUAAUUUUUUUUCAUCUUGAACGCAAUUUGCGAAUCCGCCAUGACAACAUUGCAUCUAAUUAGAGAAAGACUUUUGUAUUUUUAGUAGAUGAGGUCAAUAUGUGCCAGAAUAAUAGGAAACUUUUGUUAUAUUAACUGGGCGAACUUCAAUUUAUUCUCAUGCAAAUAAAAAUCUUCAAUUUACCCUUCAAAAUCGUGAAAACCUCAACUUACCUCGAUUUUUGUUCAGAAGAUAAGCGUAAAUGAAUUUUUUAAUCUAUUUUUUUAGUAAUAAAAUUGGGUAAGAUGAUGUGUUCACGUUUUUUAGGGUAAAAUUGAUAUUUUCAUAAUUUAAAUUGAAGUCUAUACAUAAAUUAGUUCAGGCAAUUAAAUUGAAUUUUUCCCUUAAAUUAACUCAAUCAGUUUAGUAAUAUAAGAUUUUAAUAAAAUACAAGAGUUUUUUUUCCCUUUUUUGUGAGGAUACAGCCUCACCCGAAGAGGAAAUGGAUUGAAUGUUCAAAUAUUACUAGUACUAACACAGUAAUAAUGAUCAUUAUUAGUAUUUCAACAAAUUACUCUCUCAUAGAUUGAGUUAACGAUUUGUAUACAACAAAAUAGCAUCAGAUGCACGUACAAAAGGCACAUAUCAUAACAUUGCACACUCAUAAUGGAUUAGUUUCUUUUUUUAUUAAGAUAUAGUUUCAAUUUCACUACACUUGAUCAUUGUUGCAAAAGCACUCAUAAAAGAUAAAAGAAAUAACUGAUUAUCAAAAUCAUUUGCAUCCCCCCGGGGGACAAUGAUAGAUAUAGUCUUCGAGAGCUUUCUUUAGCUUCGCAAUCAAACACUCUUCCCUUGUAAUCCCUGAGCAAUCAACAAUGUCUGGUGAUGCUGUAGGAUUACUGGAAAAUGAUACAUCUGCGGUAGAUCCUUGGCCAAUAUGAUUGGCUAAAAUAAGUCUACUUUCAGUGUUUGCCACUACGAGUAAAGCCAAGAUGAUGAAACUAAGGCUCUUCGACAUAUUUCUAUUUCUUAGGUGAAUUAUCAAUAACUUAAUUAUAAGUAUAAGAGAUCUACAUCAAUUAAGGAAACAUAAGUCUCUAUUUAUAUGAAUGAAUAUUGAGAAACGAGUUGUAAUGACUUUAAUGGAAUUGAAAGAUUCCAUAAAUGAGGAUUAAAUAAAUUAUGUUGUGUUUGUUUAAAUUAACUAUUAACUUUAAUAUCAUGUUGCAUUACGACGACAAUUUUAACAUACAUUAAAUUAAUUUGAUCGUUUUUAGUGUUACUAUUUUGUUUAGUUUAUUAUUAGAUUCUUUCUUAUUAUAUCAAUCGUCAGACUAUUUUUUUAAUAUGUAAAGACAUUUCUAGUGGGAUCUCAUCUCUGAUAUUACUUAUUCCUGCUGAAUUCAAAACAACAGGAAUUCUCUUCUUCUUUUUUUGUUAAUUGUAAUCUAUAUUUAGGGGAUUAAUUAAUUUUGAAUUGGCUAUGUUGGUAAAAUACUACGAAUUAUCUAGUUGAUUAAAUAUAUGUUCACUUAAUUGUAUAUACACUCUAUAAAUUAAAAGAUUAUUAACUUAUAGAUUAAUUAAUAUCAGUAUCUCUUUAUAUUAAUAGAAAUUGUAUGAUUCUGAUAUUAAUUUAUAGAGGCUUUAUUGUGUAUCCAUACAAAUAUCUAGCAUUGUAUUACGCUAAUGGUCUGCCUAAAAAAUAGGAUGUGGUUAAUUUCAUUCGAAGACGUCGUUCUAGAAAUAUCUUUACAUAUUAAAAAGAAUAGCUUGACGAUUGAUAUAAAGAGAAGAAAAUUUAAUAAAAAAUGAUAAAAUUAAUUAAAUAUAUGUUGAAAUUACCUUCAUUAUGCGACAAGAAAUUAAAAUCAAUAGUUUAUUAAAACCUACACAACAUACGUUAUUUAAGCUUAAUUUUUUAAUCUUUUCAAUUACAUUAAGGCACUGCAACAUAUUUCUCAAUAUUCCUUUAUAUAAAUAGAGGCUCAUGCCUUUCUAAUUCCUACACAUCAAUUUUAAUUCACAUUAGGCUGUUAAGAAUUCACUGAAGAAAUUGAAAAUAUGUCAAAGAGUUCUAUUUCAUCAUGCUUGUAGUGGCAAACACUAAAAGCAUGCUAACCCAGAUGCUUCAUUUUCCAUUUCUCUAGGCUUACAAGCAAAAAUUGUUUGAUCGAGAAGUUACCAUAUCUACCCAUGCCCUUGGGGGAAUGUAAAUGAUUUUUAUAAUAAGUUGUUUCUUUUAUCUUUUUCAGUGCUUUUGCGAUAAUGAUUAAUUGUGGUGAAAUUAAAACUAUGUUUUAAUAAAAGAAGAAAUUAAUCCAUUAUGAUUACUUAAUGUUUUGUCAUGUGUUUUUUGUGUGUGUUUUUGGUGUGCUUUGUUUUAUACAUAUCAUUGAAUCAAUCUAUGAGAGAGAAAUUAGUUUAAACACUAAUGUUGAUCAAGUGAUCAUAAUUAUAAUGUUAGUACCAUACGUAAUAUUUAAAUUUUCAAUCUAUUUUCUUUUAGGGUGAGGCUAUAUGGAUCUUAUUUUUAUCAAAAUUUAAUUUUUUCUAAAUCUUAUACUACUAGACUAUCUGAUUUAAUUUAUGGGUAAAUUCAACUUUUGCCUCGAGAAUCUUUAAUUUACCACAAAAAAUGUGAAAAAAAUCAAUUCACCCCUAUUUACUACUACAAAAACAAAUAAAAGUUCAUAAACUUGGCUUUUGAACAAAAAUUGGUGCAGAUCAAGGCUUUCAUACUUUUGAAGGGUAAAUUGAAGAUUGUUGUUCGGAGGGGGAUGAAUUAAAGUUUACCUUGAUUAAUAUAACAAUAUGUUUGAUAUUAUUUCUGAAUCGUGUUUGCUCCAUUGAUAUGUCUAUAUCAAUCAAUCUUGAUUCAUCAACUCUUGUUAUAGAUGCAGGAUUGCCGAAUAAAUAAUAUUUUGAUGACCUAUUUGGAGAUGCAACAAUUUUUCAACCAUAAACACUUGCAACAACACUUAGCCACAAAUUAAAUUAAAAAUUCAAUUGGCAACUCAUGUUGAACGAAUGGAUUGAUUAGAUAAAUUAUCGUAGAAUCUUAGCGAAUCCAUGUAUUCUACAUACCUUACUAACUAAUUUAUUAAGAAUGUUGUUAUUAAAGAUGUUUAGAGAAUUGGCUACCCAAGCAUGGCUUGGUACAAUUUUUCGCAGAUCUAAUUUCGAUGUUGAAAAAGUUUGUUUCAAAAUUUUUGACAUAAUGUUAAUUAUGUUACACAACUAUAUUCUUUGACAAAUAGAAAUUGAAACAUCAUUAAAUCUAAUUGGUAUCAUACUGAGCAUUAGAGCCUUGCAAGCUUCUUCUAGUUUAUUUAUCACUCAAUUUGUCACUCAAUCAAUUAAGAAAGAAAAAAAAAUCUAAGGCUCAUGGAUCUUGGCCUAGCAAUGUUAUUUCUGGCCAAAAAAAAAAAAAAGAGUAGUAGUAUUUGAUCCCACCUUCCGAUUAAUCCCAUUUGUUUUUAAAUUAAACUUGUUUAAGUUUUUUUUUCUCUCUCAUCACCACCACAACCAUCAUCUAUCUUUAUUACCAUUAAUUCAAUCCGCUUUCAACAAGCAUAUCAGUUUUUACAAUGUUGCACACACCAAGCAUAUUGGCUACCUUGGCAAUUGCUCAAGUACACAAAAAGAGGAAUUCAUUAGCAAGCUAGUUACUAGUUUGCGUCCAAGUCCCCAUUACUAUGACCAAGGUACAGGAACAUUAACUGCUAGCUUCAUUGGACUCAUUAUCUCUUUACUUUUACUUCUCUAUUCAAUCCACACAGCGGUGUUCAAUCCCCUUCUUGUCCAAAGAGUUUAUUCAUAUUCUCAAGUCGUUUUGGUUGCCCACUUUGAGAAUUUAUUUCUUCUUUUUAUAGUUCUUCUUAUCUAAUAAGAAUGUGCGAAUUAGAGCUUGUAUUUGUCAUCUCAAAAGCAUUACAGAAGCGAGACAAAGCAAGAAAAGUUGAAUACUAACUACUUGAUGAAGAUUCCUUGUACUAAUUAAUUCUUCAUGUUAUUCUUCGUGCUAACCACAUCUGGGUCUUGAAUUUGUACGAGUUAAUAGCACUAGAUGCCCGCACAAAAAACACAUGACAUAAUAUUGCGUACUCAUAAUGAAUUAAUUUCUUCUUUUACUAAAACACAGUUUUAAUUCCACGGCAAUUGCUCAUUAUUGCAAAAGCACUCAUAGAAGAUAAAAGGAAUAACUAAUUAUCAAAUUCAUUUGCAUCCUCUUGGGAACAAGGGUAGAUAUAGUUUUUGAGAGCCUUUUUUUAACUUCUCGAUCAAACACUUUUCCCUUGUAAGCCCUGAGCAAUCAAUAAUGUUAGGUGAUGCUGUAGGAUUAAAGGAAAAUAAAGCAUUUGGGUUCGAUUCUUGGCGAGUGCAACAUACUGAAAUAGGUGUGGCUUUAGUGUUUGCCACUACAAGCAAAGCCAUGAUGAUGAAACUAAAAAUCUUUGACAUUUUUAAGCUUCAUCAGCAGGCUAGCUAAAAGUUUACCUGGAAGUCCCCUAAUACAAUGACAAAGUUAAAGAAGCAUUAGUUAUUGGCUUCAUUUGACUUGUUAUCCACUUGUUUCUACUUCUCUAUUUAAUCCACACAGCAAGCCUGAAUCCCCGAACUUGAUCAAAAGACUUAAUUCAUUGCCUUAAGUCUUUUUGACCACCCAAUUUGAGAAUUUAUUUCGUCUUUUUAUGAUGCUUCCUAUAUAAUAAGAGCGUGUGAUUAGGAACUUGUAUUUGUUUAAUUCAUAACAUUUUAAGAGCAUUACAAUAGAAUGACAGGAAAAGAAAAGCUGAAACUGACAACAUUGUUAUUCUUAGUGGUAACCACAUCUAGGUCUUAAAUUUGCAGGAGCCAACAUGAUGAAGCCCAUAUUUUGCAUCAUUAAAUGAUUAAUCUUGUUGUUAUCUCUGCUUUCACUAUUAUCUCAUCAAAAAUUGUUUCUUAUCAUACUAGCUGCAUAAAAAUUAACAAACUAACAUAUUAUCAUUUUAAAGUCAUCAAUCAAGUAUAAAUACUAUAUUAUUUAGUUAUAUAACAAAAAUAAUGAAAUAUCUAAAUUUCAAAAACAUAUAUUAAAUUAAAGCCAAAGUAGCCAUCGCAAAUAAAUAAAAGAAUACAUAUUUUCAUUUAGAAACAACUGAUUUAAUUUAUCACUAAGUGAGUUUAAUCACUCAAAUAUAGCAGUUGGCCCAACAACGAUAGUUAUUUUAGAAAUAUGGCCACGUGAUGGUGUUCGGAGUUGUAGAUAUUUUUGUUAGGAUAUUUUAGAUUGUAUAAUUUUGUUAUAAUUUGUGAUUAAGUAUAACCUAUUCUAUUUUGACAUUCGAAUGCUCGGAUCAUAACUGGUAUUUUGAUUAGGGAAGUUGAAUGUGGAGGUUGGUUGUGUAUUGAACUAUUUUAGGAGUGUUUGUUUUAUAAAUUGUAGGUUGGAAAUAUUACAUCCAUAGGGGAGAGAUACGGCAUAAUACUUAUUAAAUGGAAUAUUUUCAAUUAUGUUAUAGAAUAUCAAGUACAUUUGGCUCGUGUGGUUUCGGGCGAGUUGUUUCAUAAUUAAUAUCAAUAUCUCUUUAUAUUAAUAGAUAUUGCAUGAUUUUGAGAUUAUUAAUUUAUAAAGGCUUUAUUGCAUAUCCACAAAAAUAUCUAGCAUUAUAUUGCACCAACGGCUUGUAUAAAAUAUAGGAUGUGGUUAAUUUCAUUGGAGAACGUCAUUUAUAAAAAUAUCUUUAUCUAUUAAAAAGAAUAGCCUGACGAUUGAUAUAAAGAGAAAAAAUCUAAUAAUAAACUAAACAAAAUAAUAAGAAAUGAUAAAAUUAAUUAAAUAUAUGCUGAAAUUACCUUCUGAAUGCAUCAAGAUAUUAAAAUCAAUAGUUUAUUCAAACAAACUCAGUGUAAUUUAUUUAAGCUUCAUUUUGGAUUCUUUUUAAUUACAUUAAGGUCACUACAAUACAUUUCUCAAUAUUCCUUUAUAUAAAUAGAAGCCCUGCCUUUCUAAUUCCCACACAUCCAUUUUAGUUCAAAUUAAGCUGUUUAGAAUUUAAUUAAGAAAUUGAAAAAAUGUCAAAGAGCUCAGUUUCAUCAUGCUUGUAAUGGCAAACACUAAAUGCAUGCUAUUUCAGAUGAUUCAUUUUCUCUUUCCUAAGGCUUACAAGCGAAAAUUGUUUGAUCAAGAAGUUACUAUACCUACACAUGCCUUGGAGGGAAUGUUAAUGAUUUUGAUCAUCAGUUGUUUCUUUUAUCUUUUAUCAAUGCUUUUGUGAUAAUGAUUAAUUGUAGUGAAAUUGAAACUGUCUUAAUAAAAGAAGAAGUUAAUCCACUAUGAGUACCUAAUGUUUUGUCAUGUGUUUUUUGUGUGUGUUUUUGCUGUGCUUUGUUUUAUGCGGAUCAUUGAAUCAAUCUAUGAGAGAGAAAUUUAUUGAAACGCUAAUAAUGAUCAAGCGAUCAUAAUUAAUAUUUGUAACAUAUGUAAUAUUUAAAUUUUAUGUCUAUUUUCUUUUAGGGUGAGGCUAUUUGGAUCAUUUUUUAUUGUAAUCUAAUUUUUUUUCUAAAUCUUAUAUUCUUAAACUACCUGAUUCAAUUUAUGGGUAAAUUCAAUUUAUGCCCCGAGAAUCUUCAAUUUACCACAAAAAAUGUGAAAAAAUCAAUUCACCCUCAUUUACUACUACGAAAAUAAAUAAAAGAUCAUCAACUUGCCCCCCCCCCCUCCAUUUAAGCUAUCUUUUGAACAAAAAUUAGUGUAGAUUGAGGUUCUCAUGCUCUUAGAGGGUAGACUAAAGAUUGUUAUUAGGAUGAGGAUGAAUUAAAGUUUACGUCAGUUAAUAUAAGAAAACUUCUCAUAUUAUUUCUAACACAUAUUUUCCAUGUUUAUAUGCCCACAUCAAUUCAAUUGGUAACUCAUGUUGAACGAAUGGAUUGAUUAGAUAAAUUAUCAUAGGAUCUUAGGUAAUCCUGCAUUCCAUAUACCUUACUAACUUAUUUCUUAAGAAAUUUUGUAUUGUAUUUUUUUUGUAAUUUGAAAUAGCUAAUUACAAUAACUAACUCAAUACUUCAAUCUUUAAUCAAUCAAGAUCGAUUUGGAAUCAAGAUUGAUGACAAACAAAGUAAAGAACAUAAAAAGAAUUGGAUUAUAAAGAACAAGUUACCAAAUUUAAAGAAAAAAUGCACACUUUUUCAUUAAUCAAAACUGAGUACAAACAUAUCACAUCUUAAGAGUUACAAGAAUCACGUGUAAAGAAGAAUUAUUCUAAUUGAAGAAGAAAUGAGUGAGAGAAGGCUUAUAUAUCAUAUGCUACAAGCCAUCAUCUCGUUUCUGGAACAUUUGUAGAAACCAUGUAACAAAGUUUAACAACCCAGGCCAUGUCAGCAGAAAUUUUCAUAAGCACCCUCCAACCGAGUGCAAUAUACACAAUGACCCAUAAAACUCUCAUUCGAUUUCACUUUAGUCCCCAAAAUCAGUUAACUACAUCUCCACACUCUCCACCUUGCAAAUCUGAUUCAAUUGAUUGCACAUCAUAAAAGGUGCUUCAAAAAACCUUCAAAUAUUGCGGUCCACUCAUGAAUUCAGUUUGGUUUAGGCAGGAUGCCCACAACGUUCACACAUAACUCAAACUUAGCUGUUGGAAGAACUUUAGUAAGCAUGUCCGUUGGGUUUACAUCUAUAUGAAUCUUAGAUAUCACCAUAGUCCCUUUUGCAACUUUUUCUCUAAUGAAUUGUAGCUUCACAUCUAUAUGCUUAGUCCUCUCAUGAUACAUUUGAUUCUUAGCCUACUGUACAACAUUUUGAAUAUCACAGAAAAUUUGAACUAAUUUUUUAUUUAACCAAAGUUCAUUGAGGAUACUUUUAAGCCACAUAGACUCCUUGGUUGCUUCUGUGACUGCUACAAACUUAGCUUAUAUAGAAUAUAGAGCUACCACAAACUUUAAAGAUGAUUUCCAACUAAUUAUAUAGUUGUUCAGCAUGAACAAAUGUCUAGUGGUUGACUUCUUUUUGUCGAAGUCUCUACCAAAGUCAGAGCCUACAUACCUUAAUAUCUAUUUGACAGCAUCCCAAUGGAUCUUACUUGGAAAGCUUAAGAUCUACUGACUAUACCCAUUGAAUAAGUUAUAUCAGGUCUGAUACACACAAUUGCAUAUAUAAGGCUCCCCAAGGCCCGUGCAUAUGGUAUUUCUUUCAUCCUGAACUUAUCUUUGACAGCAUCUGAUGCUUGAGACACAAUCAACUUGAACUGAGAGCCAAGAGAAGUCAGAACAGGUUUGCACUAUUGCAUAAUAAAACCUCUCUAACACCUUUAUUAACAUACAUCUCUUAACUCAAGAAAAGAACACUAGACACUUUAUUCCUUGUGAUCUCCAUCCUAUGAAUCGUUUUGGCACUGGCAAUAUCAUUCAUCUCAAAUUUAUGGUUCAUCAGUUUCUUAAGCUUUUCAAUCUUAGUUUUGUGUCUGCUUGCAAUCAAUAUAUCAUCUACAUAAGAAAGCAAAUAUAUCACUUUGCCUCAAUCUGAGCCACCAUAGUAGAAAAAGUUAUUAUACCUACUCAUGUGGUAACCAUUAGUUACUAUGAACUCAUCAAAUCUUUUGUACCACUCUCUAGGAAAUUGCUUUAGUCCAUAUAGUGAUUAAUGCAGCAAGUAAACAUGAUUUUCUUUCCCUAUCUUUGCAAAACCUUUAGGCUGAGUCAUCAAAAUUUACUUUUCAAGCUUCCCAUUUAGGAAAUCAGUUUUAACAUCCAUUUGCUUAAGCUCUAUACAAGCAAUGUUGCCAUAGUUAAAAGAAUUCUAAUAGAGCCAUGUUUUACAAUAGGGGAGAAGAUUUCAUUGAAAUCUACACUCUUUCUCUAUAUAAAACCUCCGGCCAUAAGCCUUACCUUGAAUUUUGAAGGUUUAACUCUAUGGAUGCCAUUCUUUUUCUUAAAGAUCCACUUACAGUUAACCAGCUUCUUGUCACUUGGAUUUGGAACAAGUGUCCACAUCUGAUUUCUCUGUAAAGAAUCCAUCUCCUUUCUCAUUCCCUCAAUCCAUUUGUCACAAUUCUCACUUUCACUGGCCUUAGAAUAGCUAAAAGGCUCCUCAAUUGACAUUUCGUUUGCACUCAUCAGUGCAUAGGCAAUCAAAUCUGUAUAACCAUACCUCACAGGUGACCUGGUUUGCCUUCUGCUUAUGUCCCUAGCUAGUUGAUAGCUCUGUAGGUUAAUUUGUUGUGUUUCUUGUGUUUCAGCAGCUUUAAUUUCAUCAAAUGGACCAGUUUCAGCAUUUGAUGUAUCCAUUUCCUCAUCCUUAGCUCCAAGAAACUCCACCUUAAGCUUAGAGGACUCAGUUGGUUAAUUUGCAUCUCCUUCAACAUGCAUAUCAGCUUCUAUUAUUUCCUUUCUAGCCUUAACCAUAGCUGCUUCAUUGAAAAUAAAAUUUCUACUGAUAAUGCAUUUUCCAUAUUGUUUACACCAUAUUCUAUAUCCUUUGACACCAUCAGCAUAGCCAACAAAAAAUCCUUUCAAGUCUCUUGGUUCAAGCUUGCCUUUGACACCAUUUACAUGUGCAUAAGCAGGACAACCAAAGAUUAUGAAUUAUCAUAUUUUACAGGCCUCCCUGACCACAUUUCCUCAGGUGUUUUGAAACCAAUGGCUGAUGAAGGACUCUUGUUAACUAGAUAACAAGUUGUACUCACAGCCUCUGCCUAGAAACUUCUUGGAAUUUGGGAAUUAAUCAACAUAUACUUGGUUCUAUCAACAAAGGUCUUAUUCAAUCUUUCUACUAAACCAUUUUGUUGAGGAGUUAAUUUGACAGUUUUAUGCCUUAAAAUUAUAUGCUUCUGAUGGUAGUCUUCAAACUCCUUGUUGCAAAACUCUAGGCCAUUAUCAAUUCUUAAGGCCUUCAAUUUCCUUCCACUUUUAUUUUCCACCAAUGUUUUUCAAACCUUAAAUUUCUUUAAGGCCUGAUCUUUGGAUUUCAGAAUAUAAAGCCACACUUUUCUUGAGCAAUCAUCAAUAAGGUCAUAAAAUAUCUACCCUUGACAAAGAUGGUACUUGAGCUAUCCCCCACAAAUCAGAUUGAAUAAAUUUUAAGACACACUUAGAUCUAUAUGCCCCUUUUGGAAACUUGGCUCUAUGUGCCUUCCCAAAGACACAAUUCUCACAAAACUAAAGACUACUUAUCUUGUUAGACUCUACUGUCAUUACAACACUUGCAAGAAUGAAAAAACCAACUAACACAUACAACUCGUUCCUCUUUUCACCUUUCAUCAUAAUAGAAUCCCCUUUAUUAACUCUAUGCCACCAUUAUCAGACUUAAAUGAAUAUUCAGAGCUAUCCAACAUGCCUAAAGAGAUUAAAUUUCUCUUUAAUCCAAGGGCAUGUCUUACACCAUGUAAAGUUUUAAAGACCCCAUCCAACAUCUUUAUCUUAACAGAUCCUAUUUCAAUAAUUUUGCACUUAUUAUUAUUAUUUACUAUAAGAACUCUACCACCAUCAAUAGACACUUAUUGGGCAAAUGUAAAAUGAACAGCCGAAAUUUAACACCCAUGGAUCUUUUAAGUUUGCCUUUUGAUGAUAUUAACAGAUCAACACUGUGAUAACCAUCAUCUGAAGAGUCAUCUAAAGCCACAACUGCAUCUCCUGAUUUUUCUUGAUGCUCCAUUUUCUUUUACUCUGCAUAGUCUCUGAUAUAGUGACCUUCUUUGCUAUAGUAAAAACACUUCUUUUUCUUUUUUCUUCUUAUCGGCUUUUUGGCUCUUUCUUUUGCCCUUUUCUUGAUUCUUAUUCUUCUAUUCCUUUUUCUUUCUAGUUCUGGCAAUCAGCCCUUCUCCAUUACUGAUUUCAUGCCCAUUAUUUCUCUGAAUCUCCUUUGAGCUCAAUGAUGCCUUAACAUCUUCUAAAGUUAAUGUUGCUCUUCUAUACAACAUUGUAUCUACAAAACCUUCAUAGGAUUGUGGCAGUGAACUGAGCAAGAAAAAUGCUUUAUUUUCAUCUAUAAUUUUCACAUUUUCAAACCUUUUAAGAUUAAGGAUGAUCUUAUUGAAAGUAUCAAUGUGUUCUUGGAUAAAAACGCCUUAUUUUAUUGAAAAGUAUAAAGCUUUUUCUUCAAUUAAAGCCUGUAAGCCAAAGACUUCUUCAUGCAUAGUGCCUCCACCUUAUUCCAUAUCCUUAGAUCAAUUUUUCUUCAAAGAUUUCCCUUAAGAUUGAGCCACUAAGACUCAAAAUCAAGGUAAUAUGGGCUAUGUUCUGGAUGUGCUACUUCUUUUCAUCAGGCAUGGAACUUGUAGCUUUAUUAGGAUCUUCAUUACCCAGAAUUGACUCAGGGCCCUGAUAAAUUAGUAGUGGCAUCAGGGUCUGAUCUUCAUCUUCCAGAGUGAAAAAUCACCACCAAUGGUGAAUUUCUCAAUCUCUGGCUUUAGAAGUGACAUACCCAAGAAUUACCAAAGCUAUCAUACCACUUGUUGUAAUUUGUAGUGGCUAAUCACAAGAACUAACUCAAUACUUCAAUCUUUAAUCAAUCAAGAUCGAUUUGGAAUCAAGAUUGAUAAAGAAUAGAGUAAAGAAAAGAAAUAGAAUUGGAUUGCUAAGAACAAACUACCAGAUGAGCAGGAAAAAUUCACAUUGUUUCAUUAAUCAAAACUGAGUACAAACAAAUCACAUCUGAAGAGGAGAUUACAAUAAUCACGUGUAAAGAAGAAUUAUACUAAUUAGAGAAUAAAUGAAUCAUAAAUCAAAUGACUUGUUAUCCACUUGCCAUUAAUUUUCUAUUCAAUCCACACAGUAGCAGGAAUCCCCCAACUUGCUAAAAAGACUUAAUUCAAUACCUCAAGUCCUUUUGGCCACCCAGUUUGAGAAUUUGUUUCUUCUUUUUUUGAUGCUUCAUAUCUUAUAAGAGCAUGUUAUUAGUGUUAAGUGUUAGAAAAUAUAUAUUUAUAAAGGAGAAAAUCGUCAUUUUACACUUCAAGUUUUACUAACACUUUUACUUUUAUGUAUUUUAGUCUCUUGUAAUUUAAUUAUGUGUAUUUUAUUUUAAUUAAGUAUUCUAUGCAUUUUAGGGGUGUCAUGGUCAUUUUACAAUGAAUGAGAGAUCAGACGGUAAAAUGGACAUCACUUUUGAACUCAGGACAGUAAAAAAUUGUUGUGCAAAUUUUAUUGAACUCGCAAGUGCACGAAUCUAUUGUAGAAUAGAUCAAUGGUGACGAGUGUCGAUCCCACAAGGAGGUGGAUUUUAAUUAUAUAUAGAAUUAAUUUUGUAUGAGGGUGGUUGGAUUUGUGGUGAAAAUGAUUUGGAUUAUCCUAAAAUGAGUUGAAUUUCUUGUGAUCAUUGGUUCUGCAUGGAAUUACUUCUACCUAUUUCGAUACGUAGUCAACAGCAACCAAUAUGUAUUGAUGGCCAAAAGAAGGGGGAAAGGGUCCCAUGAAGUCGAUACUCCAUACGUCAAAAAUCUCAACCACUAAAAUUGGAUUUAGUGGCAUCAUAUUCCUUCGCGUAAUGCAUCCCAUUCGUUGACACCUAUCACAUGAAGAACAUAAAGUGUAAGCGUCUCGAAAUAUAGUUGGCCAAUAGAAACCACAUUGUAAAACUUUAGUCGCUGUUUUCUUAGCACUGAAAUGGACUCCACAAGCUUGUUCAUGGCAGAAUGAAAGAAUAUUCUGAAUUUCUCUUCUGGGACACAUUGUCUAACAAUUUGAUCUGCACAAUAUUUGAACAAAUACGGGUCAUCCCAAAAGAAAUUUUUUAUUUCUGCAAAAAACUUGGCUUUAUCUUGCUUGGUACAAUGCUCUGGAAGUUGACCUGUAACAAGAUAAUUAACUAUAUUAGCAUACCAAGGUAAUACUUCCACACUCAUUAAUUGUUCGUCUGGAAAUGACUCAUUCAAUGUUAAUGAUUCUGUAAUUGUGUCAAAAUGGAGACGAGAGAGAUGGUCUGCCACAACAUUUUCUGUGCCUUUCUUAUCUUUAAAUUCCAAGUCGAACUCCUGCAAAAGUAACACCCAACGAAUUAGUCUAUCUUUUGCAUCUUUCUUUGUGAGAAGAUAUUUAAGAGCAGCAUGAUCUGUGAACACAAUUAUUUUACAAUCAAUGUGAUAAGAUCGAAAUUUCUCUAAUGCAAACACUACUGCUAGCAUUUCUUUUUCAGUUGUUGAAUAGUUUAACUGUGCAUCAUUCAAUGUCAUACUAGCAUAGUAAAUAACAUGGGGAAUUCGAACAAAUCUUUGUCCUAAUACUGCUCCUACUGCAUAAUCAGAUGCAUCACACAUGAGCUCGAAUGGUAAGCUCCAAUUUGGGGGUUGAAUAAUGGGUGAUGAUGUCAACAAUUGCUUUAAUUUUUCAAAAGCCACAAGACAUGAAUCAUUAAAGAUAAAAGGUACAUCCUUAGCAAGUAGAUUGCAUAAGGGUCUAGAAACUUUGCUAAAAUCUUUAAUGAAACGUCUAUAAAAACCAGCAUGCCCAAGGAAAGAUCUUACUUCUCUGAUUGUUUUGGGUGGAGGAAGAUUAGAAAUUAGAUCCACUUUGGCUUUGUCAACCUCAAUACCUUUGCUCGAAAUGAUGUGACCGAGACCAAUACAUUGUUUUACCAUAAAAUGGCACUUCUCCCAAUUUAAGACUAAGUUCUUCUCGAUACAUCUCUGCAGAACUAGUGUUAGAUGAUGUAAACAUUGAUCAAAUGAAUCACCAAAAACAGAAAAGUCAUCCAUAAAGACUUCAAGGAAUCGUUCAACCAUAUCAGAAAAAAUGCUCAACAUGCAUCGUUGAAAUGUAGCAGGUGCAUUACAUAAUCUAAAUGGCAUUCUCCUAUAUGCAAAAGUGCCAAAAGGGCAAGUGAAAGUGGUUUUCUCUUGAUCUUUUGGUGCUAUGGGAAUCUGAUUAUAUCCUGAGUAGCCAUCUAGAAAACAAUAAAAUUCAUGGCCUGCUAAUCUAUCAAGCAUUUGAUCGAUAAAUGGUAAAGGAAAAUGGUCUUUACGUGUGACAGAAUUCAACUUUCUAUAAUUAAUGCAAACACGCCAUCUUGUAGUCACUCUAGUGGGUAUCAAUUCAUUAUCAGCAUUCGCAACUACUGUGACUCCUGACUUUUUUGGGACAACUUGUACAAGACUGACCUAAGAACUAUCAAAAAUGGGGUAAAUGAUACCUGCAUCUAAUAGCUUAAGAACUUCAGUUCUAACAACUUCUUUCAUAUUAGGAUUUAACCGACGUUGCAUUUCCCUAGUAGGUUUAGCAUUUUUCAUCAAGGUGAAUGUAAUGCAUGCAGUCUACUAGGUUUAUACCUUUUAUGUCCGCUAUGGUCCAUCCUAAUACUCCUUUGUGCUCUUUUAAAAUAUCCAACAACUUACCAUUUUGUUCGUCAUUUAGGGAUGAUGAGAUGAUUACCGGUAGAGUAUUUUCUUCUCCCAAAAAUGCAUAUUCCAAAGUGUUGGGCAAUGGUUUGAGCUCGAGUUUCGGUGGUGAUUCUGAUGAUGGGAUGAGUUUCUUCUCUGAUGGUGCUAGUUGUUCAACUCUUGACUUCCAUUUAUUAGUGUUCAUGGAUGGUGCUGAGUCAAGUAAAGUGUUGACCUCAUUGAUCGAUCUGUCAAUAUCAAAAUCAAAACCAAAGUGAGUUACAUAUGUUUGUAAAGGGUCAUCACUAAGGUUUGAAAGAAAAGUGUCAUCAACUGGUACUUACUUCAUGCACUCCUUUAGGAUUAAGCACUAGUUGACUUGGAAACUUACCUUUCUCAACAGUCAUUGCCAAGGUCUGAACUGAAGAAGCAAGUUGUCCCACCAUCUUCUUGAGGCUUGAAACUGAUUGGGCUUGUGAGUUGAAGCCUGCUCUCAACUCAUUUCGUAGUCCAUUAAUGGUGCGGUUCUGUUGCUCAAUCAUGGAGUGAGUAAGAUUCUUGAGAUUCUGGAAUGAAUCCUCCCAUGGUCUGGGUUGAGAGUAGUUCUGGUUCUGAUUGUAUGGUCUAAAUGGUGGUUGAGAGGCUUGAGGAAUUGGUUGCAUUGGUUGAGCUGGAGCUGCUGGUCCAUUCUGUUGGAAUCCUUGAGACCAUGAAAAAUUGGGGUGGUCUCUCCAUCCAGGGUUAUAUGUGUUGGAGUAUGGAUUGUAAUUCGAUGGUUUUCUCAUUACACCUAUGGCAUUGGCUUGAUCUGAGUAUGAGUCAUGGUCAUGUGGCUCUGUUGAUUUAGUAGUCGAUAACGAAUCUAUUUGUCGAGUGAGACCUUCAACCAUCUCCUUGACUUCUUUGAUUCCCGAAGUUGACUCACCAAUGUGAACCUCAUUCACUCCUUUAAUUAUUUUAGUAUUCCUGAGCGAUCGACUCCGUUGUUGGGAAUUAUCCGCUUGUCGCUGGAAGAAUUCCCAAAUCUCUGAUGUACUUUUUGACAUUAGCUCUCCUCCACUUGUUGCCAUUAGCCAUUCUUGCACAUUCGGCAAUAAUCCCUCCAAAAAGUAUUGUCAUUGGUGCCAUUUCUCGUACCCAUGAUGUGGACACUUCAAGAGUAGCCCAUUGAAUCUCUCCCAUAUUUCGAAAAACUGCUCGUCUUCUCUUUGGGUAAACUCUGAGAUUUCACUGCGAAUAGCAUUGGUUUUAUGCACUAGGAAAUAUUUAUUCAAAAAUUUUGUUACCAUUUGUUCCCAUGAUGUGAUGCUAUUAGCAGGCAAUGUAUUGAGCCAUGAACGAGCUCUAUCCUUUAUAGAAAAUGGGAAUAGUCUAAGUUUAACAUCAUCAUCUGAAAAAUUCUCGUAUCUAAAUGUUUGACAAACAGCAUGAAAAUCAUUCAAAUGAUUAUAUGGGUUCUCAUUUUCUAAGCCAUAGAAUGAGGGGAGACAAUUUAGCACACUAGGUUUUAGUUCAAAACUCCUAGCAGCUACAUUUGGGUAUCUUAUACAUGAUGUGCUCAAAUUAGCUAAGAGACUAAAAUAGUCCUUAAAUGGCCUCUCCUGUGGUGCUUGUAAAUCCAUUCCAAAUUUAUUUUUAACGUGCUUGUGUGUGUGAAGUGUUUUUUCUAGUUCAAGGUUUAUAGGUUCAAGAUUAGGUAAUAAUGACCUAUGCCCAUGCAUGCAAGAAACACAAAAAUAAAUGGGAACAAAACAAAUAAAAAUAAAGAAGAAUGAGAAAUUACGUUACUAACUUUAUCACGCUGUUAAAACUUUUCUAUAAAAAUACACAAAAACAAAUACGUAAAAUAAAUAAAUUAAUAAGAUAAACAAAAAAAAAUUUACAAAGAAAAAUAAAUUGAAAAUUAAAUGACAUAAUUUUAAAGAAGAGGAAAAGAAAAGAAAUUCUAACCUUUAAAUGUAGAUUUACAUUUUUUUUUCUUUUUUUUAAAGAAAAAAAUACAAGAAAACAAUUAAAUGGAAUUAUUCACAAAAAAUAAUUCUAUGAAUUAAAAUUUCUUACCUCCCUGGCAACGACGCCAAAAACUUAUUGUGCAAAUUUUAUUGAACUCGCAAGUGCAUGAAUCUAUUGUAGAAUAGAUCAAUAGUGACGAGUGUCGAUCCCACAAGGAGGUGGAUUUUAAUUAUAUAUAGAAUUAAUUUUGUAUGAGGGUGGUUGGAUUUGUGGUGAAAAUGAUUUGGAUUAUCCUAAAAUUGGAAUUUAAAUGGCGAGAAUAAAUUGAAUAGAAAUCUAUUAAAAUGACGUAUUUUGGUAUCUGGAUCCGUAUCAACAUGCAUCAUGGGUUAAAUCUACAUUUCAUGUAUUUAUUUUUAGUUAAUUUAUUUCACGUAUUUUUUUUAGUGUGUUUUUAUAGGAAGGUUGUAACAGCGUGAUAAGGUUAGUACCGUAAUUUCUCCUUCUUAUUUAUUUUUAUUAAUUUUGUUCUCAUUUUUUUUGUAUUCAUUGCAUGCAUGGUCAAAGGUCAUUAUUACCUAAUCUUUAGCCUAUAGACCUUGAACUUGAAAAAAUACUUCGCACACACAAACACAUUGUAAUUAAGGAUAAAAGUGAAAUGGAUUUGCAACAACAACAAGCACCAUCAGAGAGGCCAUUUAAGGACUUUUUCAGUCUCUUAGCUAAUUUGAGCACAUCAUGCAUAAGAUUCCCAAAUGUAGCUGCUAGGAGUUUUGAACUAAAACCUAGUGUGCUAAAUUGUCUCCCAACAUUCUAUGGCUUAAAAAAUGAGGACCCAUAUAAUCAUCUGAAUGAUUUUCAUGUUGUUUGUCAAACUUUUAAAUAUGAGAAUUUUUCAAACGAUGAUGUUAAACUUAGAUUAUUCCCAUUUUCUUUCAAGGAUAGAGCUCGUUCAUGGUUAAAUACUUUGUCUGCUAAUAGCAUUACAUCAUGGGAACAAAUGGUAACUAAAUUUUUGAAUAAAUACUUCCCAGUGCUUAAAACCAAUGCUAUUCACAGAGAAAUCUCAGAGUUUACCCAGAGAGAGGACGAGUAGUUUUUCGAAACAUAUGAGCGAUUCAAUGGGCUACUCUUGAAGUGUCCACAUCAUGGGUACGAGAAAUGGCACCAAUGUCAAUAUUUUUUGGAGGGAUUAUUGCCGAAUGUGAAAGAAUGGCUAAUGGCAACAAGUGGAGGAGAACUAAUGUCAAAAAGUGCAUAAGAGAUUUGGGAAUUCUUCUAGCGACAAACGGAUAAUUCCCAACAACGGAGUCGAUCGCUCAGGAACAAUAAAAGAAUUAAGGGAAUAAAUGAGGUUCACAUUGGCGAGUCAAGUUCAAAAAUUAAAGAAGUCAAAGCGACAAUUGAAGGUCUUUCUCCACAAAUAGCAUCGUUAACGACUGCUAAAUCAUCAGAACCACACGACCAUGAUUCAUACUUAGAUCAAGCCAAUGCCAUAGGUGUAAUGAGAAAAUCAUCAAAUUACAAUCCAUGCUCCAACACAUAUAAUCCUGGAUGGAGAGACCACCCCAAUUUUUCAUGGUCUCAAGGAUUCCAACAGAAUGGACCAGCAGCUCUAACUCCACCAAUACAACCAAUUCCUCAAAUUUCUCAAGCCUCUCAGCCACCAUUUAGACCAUACAAUCAGAACCAUAACUACUCUCAACCCAGACCAUGGGAGGAUACAUUCCAGAAUUUCAAGAAUGUUACUCACUCUACGAUUGAGCAACAGAACCGCACCAUUGAUGGACUACGAAAUGAGAUGAGAGCAGGAUUCAACUCACAAGCCCAAUCAGUUUUAAGCCUCGAGAAGAUGGUGGGACAACUUACUUCUUCAGUUCAGACCUUGGCAAUGACUGUUGACAAAGGUAAAUUUUCAAGUCAACCAGUGCCUAAUCCUAAAGGAGUACAUGAAGCAAGUACCAGUUCACCACAGUAGCAUUGAGAGGUCAAGCAGUCAUAAUCUUGCGAAAAGGAAAAGAAGUCGACAACAAAGUGGAGAUGCCGGUGACAAAAGAAAAUCAAAUUGUACAUGUGAAUGUUGAGGACUUACCAUCGGAAGAGAAAGAAGAAACCAACCCACAAGAAUAUGUUCCCAAAGCUCCAUUUCCUCAGAGGUUAACUAAAGGAAAGAAGGGAAAAUCCACAGGUGAGAUUCUUGAAAUCUUCAAACAGGUAAGUGUUAACAUCCCUUUGCUUGAUGCUAUAAAACAAGUUCCAUCUUAUGCCAAGUUUUUUAAAGACCUUUGUACUAAAAAAAGAAAUAUUCAUGUUCAAAAGAAGGCCUUUUUAACAGAAAACGUUAGUUCUAUACUCCAACACAAAAUUCUUCUAAAAUGCAAAGACCUAGGCUCCCCCACUAUCUCAUGUAGCAUAGGGAACCACACAAUUGAGAAUGUUUUGUUGGACUUAGGAGCUAGUGUAAAUCUGUUACCUUAUUAGUUUGUGAAACUUAGACUGGGUGAAUUACACCCAACUCCAGUGGUGUUACAGCUUGCAGAUCGAUCCACUAAAAUACCUCGUGGUAUUGUGGAGGACGUGCUUAUCCAGGUAGACAAGUUUUAUUUUCCUGUUGAUUUCAUUGUAAUUGACACUCAAUCAAUCCAGGAUUCAAGGAAGCACAUCCCCAUUAUCCUAGGCCUACCUUUCGUGGCAACUGCGGAUGCCCAUAUUCAAUGCAAAACUGAAAAUAUGUAGUUGUCCUUUGGCAACAUGACUAUGGAGCUAAACAUCUUCAACAUUGCCAAACAACCUCACAAUGCAGAUGAUGAAAUUGUUGACGUGGAUUUAAUAGAAGAAAUAAUUGAUAAUACUUUUCUUUCAAACCUUAGUGAUGACCCUUUACAAACAUGCUUAACUCACUUUGGUUUAGAUUUUGAUAUUGACAGAUCAGUGGAUGAGGUCAACGCCCUACUUGACUCAGCUUCAUCCAUGGACACUAAUAAAUGGAUGUCAAGAGUUGAACAAUUAGCACAAUCAGAGAAGAAAUUCAUCCCAUCAUCAGAAUCACUACCGAAACUCAAGCUCAAACCAUUACCCAACACUUUGGAAUAUGCAUUUUUGGGAGAAGAAAGUACUAUGCCGGUAAUCAUCUCAUCAUCCUAAAUGACGAACAAAAAGGUAAGUUGUUGGAUUUUUUAAAAGAGCACAAAGGAGCAUUAGGAUGGACCAUAGUAGACAUAAAAGAUAUAAACCCAGUAGACUGCAUGCAUUACAUUCACCUUGAUAAAAAUGCUAAACCUACUAGGGAAAUACAACGUCGGUUAAAUCCUAACAUGUGAGAAGUUGUUAGAACUGAAGUUCUUAAGCUAUUAGACGCAGGUAUCAUUUACCCAAUUUCUGAUAGUUCAUGGGUCAGUCCUGUACAAGUUGUCCCCAAAAAGUCAGGAGUCACAGUAGUUACCAAUACUGAUAAUGAAUUGAUACCCACUAGAGUGACUACAUGAUGGCGUGUAUGCAUUGAUUAUAGAAAGUUGAAUUCUGUCACACGUAAAGACCAUUUUCUUUUACCAUUUAUCGAUCAAAUGCUUGAUAGAUUAGCAGGCCAUGAAUUUUAUUGCUUUCUAGAUGGCUACUUAGGAUAUAAUCAGAUUCCCAUAGCACCAAAAGAUCAAGAGAAGACCACUUUCACUUGCCCUUUUGGUACUUUUGCAUAUAGGAGGAUGCCAUUUAGAUUAUGUAAUGCACCUGCUACAUUUCAACGAUGCAUGUUGAGUAUUUUUUUUGAUAUGGUUGAACGAUUCCUUGAAGUCUUUAUGGAUGACUUUUAUGUCUUUGGUGAUUCAUUUGAUCAAUGUUUCCAUCAUCUAACACUAGUUCUGCAGAGAUGUAUCGAGAAGAACAUAGUCUUAAAUUGGGAGAAGUGCCAUUGUUGAGUGUUAGAAAAUGUAUAUUUAUAAAGGAGAAAAUCAUCAUUUUACACUACAACCUUUACUAACACCCUUACUUUUAUGUAUUUAACAUUCUUUUGAUUUAAUUCCGUGUGUUUUAUUUUAAUUAAGCAUUUUAUGUAUUUUAGGGGCAUCAUAGUCAUUUCACAAUAAACGAGAGAUCAGACGGUAAAACGGACAUCACUUUUGAACUCAGGACAGUCGAAAACCUUAAGAGGAGCAUAAAAGGAAAAAUGGCACUAUUCACAUGUACGGUACUAUUCACGUGUACGGUACUGUCUACGUUACUGUUCAUGACACUGUUCACAUAGACGGAUCGAUGACGUGGCAUUGACCGAUGAUGUGGCAUUGACUGAUGAGGUGUCACGAUCCUGUUGGGCUAAAAUUCUUAUGUACUGUUGAUGGUGACGUGGCAACAUAUCAGUGGACGAAAAAUCUCGCGUACGGUACAUGCAUCACACAUUAUUAUUUUCAACCAAACCGCGUCACUGUUCACCCGGGUCAAACCGUGUUACUGUUCAUCCGCGUGGUCAAACCGCGUACUGUUGACUGAUGACGUGGCACAAUCCUAAGCGUCCAAACUGUUUUUAAUCUGAUGGCCAUGAUUUACUCCAUGUAUCUAUAAAAAGGGGCCCCCCCUAAUUUGAUACCUCUAAAUCCAUUUUUGGGAUCCAUUUUCUGUAAUUUCUUCUCCAUCUUGUAUUUUCUUCAUAUUUUAAUAAAUUUCCAUUUUACCCCUAGUUCAAUUAUGAGUAGCUAAUUUUCUUUCAAGCUUGGGUUGAAGGUGAAGUCUCAACAUGUGUCAUGGGCUUGAUUUGGUAAAUUUAUUUUCUCUUCCCCUCUAAUUUUUGUGGAUGUUUUGACUUCUCGUCGACAAAUAAUACUAAUCUUGUCUAGUACCGCCUUGGUUUCACCGGCCCUCUAGUACAAGGUUAUUAUUAUUUGGCACGAUAAGCCCUUAAGACCAUAUUGAUUAGAGCGUGGUUCAUGAGGUGUGGAUUCCCCCCUCAUGAUUUAACUGACAUUAAUAAGGAUUAUUUAGCCCAUGAUGCAUGUUGAUACGGAUCCAGAUACCUAAGUACGUCAUUUCAAUAGAAUUCUCUUCAAUUUAUUCUUGCCAUUUCAAUUCCAAUUUUAGAAUUUAUUCUCGCCAUUUUAAUUUAAGUUUUAGCAUAGUCCAAUUCAUUUCCACCACAAAUCCAAUCACCCAUUUACAAAAUUAAUUCUACACAAAAUCCAUCUCCUCGUGGGAUCAACACUCAUCACCAUUGAUCUAUACUACAAUAGAUUCGUGCGCUUGCGAGUACAUUAAAAUUUGCACAACAGCCAUUUUGUGGUAAAACAAGAUAUUAUUCUCAGUCACAUCAUUUCGAGCAAAGGUAUUGAGGUUGACAAAGCAAAGGUGGAUCUCAUUUCUAAUCUUCCUCCAUCUAAAACAAUCAGAGAAGUAAGAUCUUUCCUUGGGCAUGCUGGUUUUUAUUAACGUUUCAUUAAAGAUUUUAGCAAAGUUUCUAGACCCUUAUGCAAUCUACUUGCUAAGGAUGUACCUUUUAUCUUUGAUGAUUCAUGUCUUGUGGCAUUUGAAAAACUAAAGUAGUUGUUGACAUCAUCACCUAUCAUUCAGCCCCCAAACUAGAGCUUACCAUUUGAGCUCAUGUGUGGUGCAUCUGAUUAUGCAGUAGGAGCAGUUUUUGGACAAAGAGUUGAUCGAAUUCUUCAUGUUAUUUACUAAGCUAGUAUGACAUUGAAUGAUGCACUGUUGAACUAUUCAGAUACUGAAAAAGAAAUGCUAGCAAUAGUGUUGCAUUAGAAAAAUUUCGAUCUUAUCUCAUUGGUUGUAAAAUAAUUGUAUUCACAGAUCAUGCUGCUCUUAAAUAUCUUUUCACAAAGAAAGAUGCAAAAGCUAGACUAAUUCGUUGGGUGUUACUUUUGCAGGAAUUUGACUUGGAAUUUAAAGAUAAGAAAGGCACAGAAAAUGUUGUGGCUGACCAUCUCUCUCGUCUCCAUUUUGACACAAUUACAGAACCAUUAACAUUGAACGAGUCAUUUCCCGAUGAACAAUUAAUGAGUGUGGAAGUAUUACCAUGGUAUGCUGAUAUAGUUAAUUAUCUUGUUACAGGUCAACUUUCAGAGCAUUGAACUAAGCAAGACAAGGCCAAAUUUUUUGCAGAAAUAAAGAAUUUCUUUUGGGAUGACCCUUAUUUGUUCAAGUAUUGUGCUGAUCAACUUGUUAGACGAUGUGUCCCAGAAAAUAAAAUUCAGAAUAUUCUUUCAUUCUGCCAUGAACAAUCUUGUGGAGGCCAUUUCAGUGCUAAGAAUACAGCAACUAAAGUUUUACAAUAUGGUUUCUAUUGGCCAACUAUAUUUCGAGAUGCUUACACUUUCUAUUCUUCAUGUGAUAGGUGUCAACGAAUGGAGAGCAUUACACAAAGGAACAUGAUGCCACUAAAUCAAAUUUUAGUGGUUGAGAUUUUUGACGUAUGGGGUAUCGACUUCAUGGGACCCUUUCCCCCUUUUUUUGGCCAUCAAUACAUAUUGGUUGCUAUUGACUACGUAUCGAAAUGGGUAGAAGUAAUUCCAUGUAGAACCAAUGAUCACAAGGUGGUGAUAGGAUUUUUGAAAAGUAACAUUGUUUCACGCUUUAGAUUCCCUCGAGCGAUAAUCAGUGAUGGUGGUGCCCACUUUUGUAACAAAGCAUUCAAAACUCUUUUGACAAAGUAUUCAAUCACUCACAAAGUGGCGACCCCAUAUCAUCCGUAAACCAGUGGCCAAGUUAAGAUCUCCAAUCGAGAAAUAAAGCACAUAUUAGAAAAGACGGUGAGGCCAAACAGAAAAGAUUGGUCAUUAAGACUUGAUGAUACAUUAUGGGCAUAUAAAACGGCUUUCAAGACCCCGAUUGGGAUGUCACUCUACAGGCUAGUGUAUGGAAAGCGUGCCACUUACCUGUGGAACUCGAGCAUCAUGCAUAUUGGGCCAUCAAGAAAUUCAACUUUAACAUGUAGCAAGCCAGCUCAGAAAGAAGAUUACAGCUGGCAGAACUUGAAGAAAUUCGCAAUAAUGCAUAUGAAAAUGCCAAGAUUUACAAGCAGCGAAUGAAAGUCUUUCAUGACAAGCAAAUUAUGAGAAAAUUGUUCACUCCAGGUCAGAAAGUGUUUUUAUUCAAUUCUCGCUUGCACCUAUUCCCAUGUAAGUUACGCUCUCGAUGGUCUGGCCCCUUUAUUGUUCAUACUGUUUUUCCACAUGAGACAAUUGAAAUUAAGGACCCAAAGAGUGGUGUCAUGUUUAAAGUUAAUGGUCAAAGAUUAAAGCCAUAUCUAGAACCAACCACAUGGAAAGGACACCGAAAUAAAUUUGAGUGACCCACCAAAUUUGAAUUGAGUUUUUUUUUCUUUCUUUUCGAUGAUUUGAUUUUUUUUCUUUUUUUUUAUUAUUCUUUUGCUAAUUGAAAUUGUUUUUGCAUAAGUGUGUUUGUUUAACCAUUAAGUUUUCUCUUAUCAUUGUUAAUCAUGAGUGCCAUAGCUAAACAGUUCCUCCUGGACAUUCUUAGACCGCUUCAACAUAUAAAAUCUCAUCUUAAAAGGCAGAUUCAAUUUUGUACAACACAUCGUAUUUGGGCUCUGCAACCACUAGAGUUAGUAUCCUAUGUUGAGGAUUUAGAAAGCCAACUCAGAGACAUUGAGAGAAAUGUCUACAAUAUCCAGUUGGAGCUUGAGGUAAAUUCAAUAAGAGGACGAUUAUAAUUUUUUUUAUGUGUUUUAGUUUGUUUUUCUUUGUUUGUGUGCUUUAGUUUGUUACCCCGGUAAAGUGGCAGAUAACAAUACUCCGUGACAAUCAAGUCGGUUACUUCAGUUUCCCAUAAUAACUAAUAUUCUGAGGCGAAGGUAUGGAUAGAAAUGAGAUUCUAGCAAAGCUUUACAAUCGAUUCCCUUCACUUUCUCAGAAUGCCCUCCUUACAAUCUAUAAAGCUCUUUCCGAACACAUGCGAUUGCUCAUGAGGAAUAACAUACCUGCUGACAUCUGUUGGUUAAUCAAGGCUAAAGUACGAUUGGCAAGUGAGUUACCUCCAAAAUUUAUUACAUACAUGCCUGGUUGUGGUAAAGAAAAUUAUGCAAGAAAACGAAGAGCUCGAAGAAUUUCUGUUACUUGUCAUAAAUGUGCCAGAAUGAGAUGCAAUAAAAACUCAUGUUCUUUAGGAAUGAUGUCUGAUAACAGGGAAGAUAAGAUUCAAUUAAUUAGGGAUGUCUUGAAUAAGGAAUCAUUGGAUGAUAUCCUUUUGUCUCUUGAAAUGCAUCCCAGUGGAUAUGUGCAAGGACCGAUUCUCCAGUUAUGGCCAUUAUUCCUGAAAGAGCAUGCACGAUAUAGUCUCAGGAAUCUGACUAUAAACGACCUUAUUUGCCAGUUUAUAAGAAAACUGGAUGGGAAGGCUAUCCUCAACCCAUAGAGGGCAUUCAAGCUGUUUCUGGACGUAAAACCAGAGGAAGAUGUGAGCUACAGUUGCAACUACCUGUAAAUAUCCUUUUACUUCAUUGUUAUUUUAUUUCAUUGUUGUUUUAUCAUUUGCAUUAUUGUCUUUAAUAAUUUUAUUUUAUCAUUGUUUCUUUUUCUUUUUACUGCUUCCUUUUUUACUCGCGAGCCAUGUGUUUUACGCGUUAUUUGACACUGACAUGCCACCUCAUACACAGUUGUGACCCACUGUCACCAAGAUUCUUAAAAAUGACUUUUUGUUAAGCACUCACAAAUUGUUUUUGAGAAAUAUUCCAAUGGCAGCUACUCCCAAUAGACAAUUCAAGAACAUUUGUGUGCUUUCUGGAUUUAACUAUGGCAAAUAUAAAGAGUUCGUUGAGGCAGCCAUAGAUCUUGGUUGAAGGAUAGCAGAGAGAAAAUUACACUUAGUGUAUGGAGGAGGUAACUGAGGGUUAUCAAAAUUGGACUCAGAAGCUACUUUUGUCAGAGAAAGCCAAGUGUUAGGCAUUAUCCCAAGAGCCCUAAAAUCUUUGGACAGUUUGUCUGACUCACCGACUGGAGAAGAGUUAGUCGUCUUAGGUAUGCAAGAAAGAAUAAUUGAAAUGCUUAAUCAUGCUGAUGCUUUUAUUUUCCUAUCAGGAGAUCUUGUAAAUCUAGAGGCACUUAUCACAUUAGCAUCUUGGGCCCAUCUGCACAUUCACUAGAAACCCAUUGGUUUGUUAAAUGUCAAUAACUUUUAUGAUGGCUUUAUCGCAUUUCUUAACCAUGCAAUAAAAAACUAUUUCUUUCCUUCCACAGCAAAAAGCUUUUUAUUUGUGCUCACACUGCUAAUGAGCUACUUGAUCUGUUACAAGCUUAUAAACCAGAGCCAGACCCUAGGACCUUUGUGUUGGAGUCUCCAAAUAAUGACGGUAACCGUAGCCGCAGUAAGAAGUACAAAUUAGAUUUAACUCUCUGCCUGUAAAUAUUUUCCUCUGUGUUGCACCACCCAUGUGAUGUCUUCUAAACUCUAUUUUUUUCCUUUAAAACAUUGAGGACAAUAUUUCGUUCUAGUUGGGGGGAGGGAAUAGUUGACAAUUGUGGAAUUUUGGUUAAAUUUUUAUUAAUUUUUUGUUGUAGAGACUAACUGUAACUAACUUUUUGUGUUGAAGAUGGCUGAAUAUGUCGUGUAGUUACUCUAGAAAUGCAUCUUCUUCGUUUAAAAAAUAAAAUAAAAUAAAAUAAAAUAAAUAAAAUAAAAUAAAAUAAAAUAAAAUAAAUAAAAUAAAAUAAAUAAAUAAUAAUAAUAAAAAUUUCCAAGCAUUUUCUUUUUCUUUAUUAAGCUUUGAUAAUAAUUUUUUUCUAACUUCUUCAUUCUAAUUUCUCCUUUAUAAAUAUACACUUUCAAAUUUUUGAGUCGAAGAUGGCUGAAUAUGGAGUGUAGUGCCUCUAGAAAUGCAUCUUCUUAGUUAAAAAAAAAACCAUUUUCUUUUUCUAUCAUUUUAAGUGUAACUUUUUUAAUUAGUUUUUCUUCAUCAUUUUCACAUCUCUGCAUGCAUAUUUUUUUUUGUGAUUUGUUUUAAUAUUGGAUGACAUGAUGAAUUUCAAAUUUUAGUAUUUGUAUUAUCUUUGGUCUUAAGUGAUGUUACGCCAUGUUAGCUACUCUACAUGUUGAUGUCGGAGAUAAAUAUGAGUUGCUUGAAGGAAUGAACAUGUCAUAAUAAGUACCAAGUGAGUUUUUGAGCCUAUCAUUUUUCUUGAAGAGUAACCAUUUUGCCCAUUCUUUAUACAGCUUAACAAUUUAUUAUUUUAUACACGAUCUCUAGAUUUCUUUUGAGUUAACCCUUAAAAAAAAUUGUAAAAUUAAAAAAAAAAAAGUGUGUUGCUACAUCUGGAGGCCCAUCUAACUAGUAGAUAUAGAAGAUUAUUUAUAGCCCUAAAAGACGAUGGAAAUGCCAUCUUUGAUCUGUUUGAGCCUUUCUAGCCAUCCAUUUUAUAAAAUAUCCAUAGUUAACCCUUUUGAGCCUUUUAAAAAAAAACAUUUUCUUUGUCAAACUUAUCAUCUUAACCCACUCCGAUUUGGAGUAUUACCCAAUAUCUUACAAGUUCCAUCACCUAUUUAUGUUUGAGAAAAAUGUAAAUAAUUAUUUUGUUCAGUGAAGUUGUGCCAAACAAAAGCAAAAAACAAAAAACAAAAAACAAAAAACAAAAAAAUUGUUGUUAAAAAAAAAAGAAAAAAAAUUAACAAUAAUAGAUGAUAUCCACCUUGCAACUUCCAAAAAAAAAAAAUCUCUACAUUUUUCUCAAACAUACACUUUGUUUCCCUUAUUUCCCCUCCUUUGUUAGCCAUGUCCCUAGCCUACGUUACGUCCUAAUAAAAGUCCUUCUUGAUUUUAAGGAACUAUAGUCUGAAGUAGAAGCUAAUUAUAUGGGCUAAAAAGAUGCAGUGGUGCAUAAAAUAUAAAUAAAUAAAUAAAUUGGGUUAACUAGCAUUUUUAUUUGACUUGAGAUCGUAUUAUUUCUAAGCUGAUGACAUAUUUCUUUCAUCUUAGUGAGAGCGUGUGAUAUUACUUCUUCAUUAUUUUCUCUCAAUUACUAUUUCAUUGGAGUAACUAUUUUAUUGGGUUUAAUUUCUUUGUGAGUGUUUCACUAUUUCCAGUGAGAUUUUGGGGUUUAACAUGUCAUUCUUGAAAUUAACUGUGACAAAGUCUACUGGGCUGAUUCAUGUGGAUGGUUGAUGUGGGUGUGAUAUUUCUUUAGACUAGAGAUAAUACUUAUACUUUUAUUUGAUUGCUAUCAUUAGUCUGAUUGAAUAAACACGAGUGUUUUAAGAAAAAAAAAAUUUGGAUUUGAAUUUUGUUUUCACUUUAUUUGCUAGGGACUAGCAAUAAGCUGGUUGGGGGGUGUGUUGAGUGUUAGAAAAUUUAUAUUUAUGAAGGGAAAAAUCGUCAUUUUACAUUUCAAGUUUUACUAACACUUCUACUCUUAUGUAUUUUAGUCUAUUGUAAUUUAAUUAUGUGUAUUUUAUUUUAAUUAAGGAUUUUAUGCAUUUUAGGGGUGUCAUGGUCAUUUCACAAUGAAUGAGAGAUCAGACUGCAAAAUAGACAUCACUUUUGAACUCAGGACAGUCGAAAACCUUAGGAGGAGUAUAAAAGGAAAAAUGACACUAUUCACAUGUACCGUACUGUCCAUGUUACUGUUCACGACACCAUUCACACAAACGGAACGAUGAUGUGGCAUUGACUGAUGAGGUGUCACGAUUCCAUUGGAGAAAAUUCUUAUGCACUGUUGAUCGGUGACGUAGCAGCAUAUUAGUGGACAAAAAAUCGCGCAUACAGUACAUGCAUAUACACAGGAUUAUUUUCAACCAAACCGCGUCACUGUUCAAGCCAGUUGAUUGUUCAAACUGCGUGGUGAAACCGUGUCACUGUUCAAACCGCGUGGUCAAACCGCAUACUGUUGACUGAUGACGUGGCGCAAUCCUGAGCGUCCAAACUAUUUUUAAUCUGAUGGCCAUGAUUUACUCAAUGUAUCUAUAAAAAGGGGGUCUUUCCCCCCUAAUUUGGAUCUCUGAAUCCAUUUUUUGGCUCUAUUUUCUGUAAUUCUUUCUCCAUCUUGUAUUUUCUACGUAUUUUAAUAAAUUCACAUUUUGCCCCUAGUUCAAUUAUGAGUAACUAAUUUUCUUUCAAGCUUAGGUUGAAUGUGAAGUCUCAACAUGUGCCAUGGGCUUUAUUUGGUAAAUUUAUUUUCUCUUGCCCUUUAAUUUUUGUGGAUGUUUUGACUUUUCCUCGACAAAUAAUAAUAACAUUGUCUAGAUACCGCCCUGAUUUCACCGGCUCCCUAGUACAACGUUAUUAUUAUUUGGCACGAUAAGCCCUUAGCACCAUAUUUAUUAGAAUGUGGUUCAUGAGGUGUGGAUACCCCCCUCAUGAUUUAAUUGGCACUAAUAAGGAAUAUUUAGCCCAUAGUGCAUGUUGAUACGGAUCCAGAUACCCAAGUGCCGCAUUUCAAUAGAAUUCGCUUCAAUUUAUUCUCGCCAUUUUAAUUCAAAUUUUAUGAUAAUCUAAGUUACUUUCACCACUAAUCCAACCACCCAUUUAGAAAAUUAAUUCUACACUUAAUUAAAAUCCACCUUCUCGUGGGAUUGACACUCGUCACCAUUGAUCUAUACUACCAUAGAUUCGUGCACUUACGAGUUCAAUAAAAUUUGCAUAACAAUUAAGAACUUGUAUUUAUUUAAUUCAUAACAUCUCAAGAGCAUUACAAUACAAAUAAAACAAGAAAAAAGCUGGAACUGACAACAUUGACUAAAAUUCCUACUUGUUAUUCUUAGUGGUAACUACAUCUAGAUCUUGAAUUUGGAAAAGCCAACAUCAUGGAGUCCAUAUUUUGCAUCAUUAAAUGAUUAGUCUUAUUGUUAUCUCUGCUUUCACUAUUGUCUUAUAAAAAAAUUAUCUUAUCAUACUAGCUGCAUAAAAAUUAACAAAUUAACAAAUUAUCAUUUUUAAGUUGUCAAUCAAGUAUAAAUAUUAUAUUAUUUAGUUAUAUAACAAAAAUAAAGAAACAACUAAAUUUAAAAACAUAUAUUGAAUUAAAGCCAAACUAGCCAUCCAAAUAAAUAAAAGAAUACAUAUUUGCAUUUAGAAACAACUACUUUAAACCAUUUUGUAAUUACCAAAAACUUUUUCUUCAAUGAAAUAAAAUAACAUAAAAUAAAAGAAUUUAAGAAGCCAAUAUGGGCCCGAAUAAUAGGAAAAAUUUUGUUAUAUGAAUUGGGGCAAACUUCAAUUCAUCCCCUUGCCAAUAAAAAUCUUCAAUUUACCCUUCAAAAACAUGGAAAUCUCGACUUACCUCAAAUUUUGUUUAGAAGAUGAACGUAAUAAUGAUCGUUAUUAGUAUUUCAACAGAUUCCUCUGUCGUAGAUUAAGUCAACGAUAAAUAUACAACAAAAUAGCAUCAAAUGCAUGCAUAAAAGACACAUGACAUAACAACACAUACUCAUAAUGGAUUAAUUUCUUCUUUUAUUAAGACAAUUUCAAUAUCACUACAAUUGAUCAUUAUUGUAAAAGCACUCAUAAAGGAUAAAAUAAAUAACUGAUUACACAAUUUUUUUGCAUCCCCCUGGGGGACAAGGGUAGAUAUAAUCUUCGAGAGCUUUCUUUAACUCUGCAAUCAAACACUCUUCCCUUGUAAGCCCUGAGCAAUCAACUAUGUCAGGUGAUGCUGUAGGAUUAAUGGAAAAUGAGGCAUCUGGGUUAGAUCCUUCGCCAAUGUGACUGGCUAAAAUAAGUCUACUUUUAGUGUUUGCCACUACAAGCAAAGCCAAGAUGAUGAAACUAAGGCUCCUCGACAUAUUUAUGCUUCUUAGGUGAAUUAUCAGUAACUUAAUUAGAAGUAAAAGAGAUCUACGACAAUCAGGAUGGCAUAAGUCUCCAUUUAUAUGAAUGAAUAUUGAGAAACGUGUUGCUGUGACUUUAAUGGAAUUGAAAGAUUCCAUAAAUGAGGAUUAAAUAAAUUAGGCUAUGUUUGUUUAAAUUAACUAUUGACUUGAAUAUCAUGUUGCGUUAUGACGGCAAUUUUAACAUACAUUUAAUUAAUUCUAUCGUUUUUAGUGUUAUUUUUUUGUUUAGUUUUUUAUUAGAUUCUUUCUCAUUAUAUCAAUCGUCAAACUAUUUUUUUUUUAAUAUGUAAACACGUUUCUAUAAGCCACGCCCUCCAAUGAAAUUAACCACAUCCUAUUUUAAGCAAGCUAGUGACACAAUCAAUCCCAUAUAUUUGCAUGGAUAUAAAGUAAUACUUUUAUAAAUUAAUAAUAAAGAAAUCACAAAACAUCUAUUAAUUUAAAGAGAUAUUGAUAUUAAUCAAUCAAUAAGUUGUAUAAGAGAUUAUGUUUUAUAAUUCUAUGGUCACAUUCUUACUACAAAAUAAUAAUUUGCUAGGCUUACAAACAUAAUUGUUAUAAUAUGUUAUUAAAUAAAACAUGAAUCUAUUAUUAUUUGUUUUUCUUCAAAUCUAAACAUAGUGGGAUCUCAUAUAUGAUAUUACUUAUUCUUGCUGAAUUCACAACUACAUGGAUUCUAUUUUUUUUUUUUUUGUUAAUUGUAAUCUAUAUUUAGGGGAUUAACUAACUUUGAAUUGGCUAGAUUGGUAAAAUACUAUGAAUUAUCUAGUUGAUUAAAUAUAUGUUCACUGAAUUGUAUAUACACAAUGAAUUAAUAGAUUAAUUUAGAUUAGUAUCCCUUUAUAUUAAUAGAUAUUAUAUGAUUAUGACAUUAUUAAUUUAUAGAGGCUUUGUUGUAUAUCCAUGCAAAUAUCUAGCAAUGUAUUGCGCCAUUUGCCUACCUAAAAUAUAGGUUGUGGUUAAUUUCAUUCGAGGACGUCGUUUCUAGAAAUAUUUUUACAUAUUGAAAAGAAUAGCCUAGCAAUUGAUAUAAAGAGAAAAAAAUUAAUAAUAAACUAAACAAAAUAAUAUGAAAAAAUGAUAAAAUUAAUUAAAUAGAUGUUGAAAUCACCUUCAUAAUGCAACAAGAAAUUAAAAUCAACAGUUUUUUAAAACCAACGCAGCAUAAGUUAUUUAAACUUCAUUUUGAAUAUCUCUUUAUAUUAAUAGAUAUUGCAUGAUUUUGACAUUAUUAAUUUAUAAAGGCUUUAUUGAGCAAUCAAUAAUUUUAGGCGAUGAUGAAACUAAAAAUCUUUGACAUUUUUACGUUUCAUUAGUAGGUUGGCCACAAGCUUACCUCCAAGCACCUUAAUACGGUGACCAAAUUAAAGUAGCAUUAGUUAUUAGCUUCAUUGGACUCAUUAUCCACUUGUUGCUACUUUUCUAUUCAAUCCACACAGUAGGCUUGAAUCCCCCAGCUUGCUCAAAAGACUUAAUUUAUUGCCACAAGUUUUUUUGGCCACCCAAUUUGAGAAUUUGCUUCUUCUUUUUAUGAUGCUUCCCAUCUAAUAAGAGUGUGUGAUUAAGAACUUGUAUUUGUUUAAUUCAGAACAUCUCAAGAGCAUUACAAUAGAAAGACCGAAAAAGAAAAGCUGAAACUGACAACAUUGAUUAAAAUUCCUACUUGUUAUUCUUAGUAAUAACAACAUCUAGGUCUUAAAUUUGCAGGAGCCAACAUGAUGAAGCCUAUAUUUUCCAUCAUUAAAUGAUUAAUCUUAUUGUUAUCUCUGUUUUCACUAUUGUCUUAUCAAAAACAAUUUCUUACCAUACUAACUGCAUAAAAAUUAACAAACUAACAUAUUAUCAUUUUAAGUCAUCAAUCAAGUAUAAAUAUUAUAUUAUUUAGUUAUAUAACAAGAAUAAAGAAAUAUCUAAAUUUCAAAGACAAAUCUUAAAUUAAAGCCAAACUAGCCAUCGCAAAUAAAUAAAAUAAUACAUAUUUGUAUUUAGAAGCAACUGCUUGAAACAAUUUUGUAAUUACUAACAAGUUUUUCUUAAAUGAAAUAAAAUAACAUAAAAUAAAAGAAAUUAAAAGCCAAUAUUUUUAUUUUCAAGUGAUGAAAUUAAAAUUAUGGUUACAAUUACAUGUGACUUCUGUUGUGCGACUUAGCCAACAAAUUGUCCAUUUACUUGCAUUAAUUUUUUUUCAUCUUGAACGCAAUUUACGAAUCCGCCAUGACAACAUUGCAUCUAAUUAGAGAAAGACUUUUGUAUGUUUAGUAGAUGAGGUCAAUACGUGCCAGAAUAAUAGGAAAAUUUUGUUAUAUUAACUGGGCAAACUUCAAUUCAUUCUCCUGCCAAUAAAAAUCUUCAAUUUACCCUUCAAAAUCGUGAAAACCUCAACUUACCUCAAUUUUUGUUCAGAAGAUAAGCGUAAAUGAAUUUUUUAAUCUAUUUUUUUAGUAAUAAAAAAGGGUAAGAUGAUGUGUUCACGUUUCUUGGGGUAAAAUUGAUAUUUUCAUAAUUUAAAUUGAAGUCUAUACAUAAUUAGUUCAGGCAAUUAAAUUGAAUUUUUCCCUUAAAUUAACUCAAACAGUUUAGUAAUAUAAGAUUUCGAUAAAAUACAAGGGUUUUUUUUUUCCCUUUUUGUGAGGAUGCAGCUUCACCCGAAGAGGAAAUGGAUUGAACGUUCAAAUAUUACUAGUACUAACACAGUAAUAAUGAUCAUUAUUAGUAUUUCAACAUAUUACUCUCUCAUAGAUUGAGUUAACGAUUUGUAUACAACAAAAUAACAUCACAUGCACGCACAAAAGGCACAUAUCAUAACAUUGCACACUCAUAAUGGAUUAGUUUCUUUUUUUUUAUUAAGAUAUAGUUUCAAUUUCACUACACUUGAUCAUUGUUGCAAAAGCACUCAUAAAAGAUAAAAGAAAUAACUGAUUAUCAAAAUCAUUUGCAUCCCCCCGGGGGACAAUGAUAGAUAUAGUCUUCAAGAGCUUUCUUUAGCUUCGCAAUCAAACACUCUUCCCUUGUAAUCCCUAAGCAAUCAACAAUGUCUGGUGAUGCUGUAGGAUUACUAGAAAAUGAUGCAUCUGUGGUAGAUCCUUGGCCAAUAUAAUUGGCCAAAAUAAGUCUACUUUCAGUGUUUGCCACUACGAGCAAAACCAAGAUGAUGACUCUAAGGCUCUUCGACAUAUUUCUAUUUCUUAGGUGAAUUAUCAAUAACUUAAUUAGAAGUAUAAGAGAUCUACAUC